rnacentral:rRNA from 1 species
GCCAUGCCGCGUGCAGGAAGACUGCCCUAUGGGUUGUAAACUGCUUUUAUCCGGGAAUAAACCACGAUACGAGUAUUGUGCUGAAUGUACCGGAAGAAUAAGGAUCGGCUAACUCCGUGCCAGCAGCCGCGGUAAUACGGAGGAUCCAAGCGUUAUCCGGAUUUAUUGGGUUUAAAGGGUGCGUAGGCGGCCUGUUAAGUCAGGGGUGGAAGACGGUAGCUCAACUAUCGCAGUGCCUUUGAUACUGACGGGCUUGAAUGAACUAGAGGUAAGCGGAAUGAGACAAGUAGCGGUGAAAUGCAUAGAUAUGUCUCAGAACACCGAUUGCGAAGGCAGCUUACUAUGGUUUAAUUGACGCUGAGGCACGAAAGCGUGGGGAUCAAACAGGAUUAGAUACCCUGGUAGUCCACGCCCUAAACGAUGAACACUCGCUGUUGGCGAUACACAGUCAGCGGCUAAGCGAAAGCGUUAAGUGUUCCACCUGGGGAGUACGGUCGCAAGAUUGAAACUCAAAGGAAUUGACGGGGGCCCGCACAAGCGGAGGAGCAUGUGGUUUAAUUCGAUGAUACGCGAGGAACCUUACCCGGGCUUGAAAGUUAGUGAAUCAUUUAGAGAUAAAUGAGUGA